rnacentral:rRNA from 1 species
ACUCCUACGGGAGGCAGCAGUGGGGAAUAUUGCACAAUGGGCGCAAGCCUGAUGCAGCAACGCCGCGUGAGGGACGACGGCCUUCGGGUUGUAAACCUCUUUUAGUAGGGAARRAGCGAAAGUGACGGUACCUGCAGAAAAAGCACCGGCUAACUACGUGCCAGCAGCCGCGGUAAUACGUAGGGUGCAAGCGUUAUCCGGAAUUAUUGGGCGUAAAGAGCUCGUAGGCGGUUUGUCGCGUCUGCUGUGAAAACUGGAGGCUCAACCUCCAGCCUGCAGUGGGUACGGGCAGACUAGAGUGCGGUAGGGGAGAUUGGAAUUCCUGGUGUAGCGGUGGAAUGCGCAGAUAUCAGGAGGAACACCGAUGGCGAAGGCAGAUCUCUGGGCCGUAACUGACGCUGAGGAGCGAAAGCAUGGGGAGCGAACAGGAUUAGAUACCCUGGUAGUCCAUGCCGUAAACGUUGGGAACUAGAUGUAGGGACCAUUCCACGGUUUCUGUGUCGCAGCUAACGCAUUAAGUUCCCCGCCUGGGGAGUACGGCCGCAAGGCUAAAACUCAAAGGAAUUGACGGGGGCCCGCACAAGCGGCGGGGCAUGCGGAUUAAUUCGAUGCAACGCGAAGAACCUUACCAAGGCUUGACAUAUACCGGAAAAGUUCAGAAAUGUUCUCCCCGCAAGGUCGGUAUACAGGUGGUGCAUGGUUGUCGUCAGCUCGUGUCGUGAGAUGUUGGGUUAAGUCCCGCAACGAGCGCAACCCUCGUUCUAUGUUGCCAGCACGUAAUGGUGGGAACUCAUAGGAGACUGCCGGGGUCAACUCGGA